rnacentral:tRNA from 2 species
GCCGGGGUAGCCAAGUGGCCAAAGGCGCAGGACUUAAGAUCCUGUCCCGCAGGGGUUCAAGAGUUCAAAUCUCUUCCCCGGCA